rnacentral:rRNA from 1 species
CUACGGGGUGCAGCAGUGGGGAAUAUUGCACAAUGGGCGCAAGCCUGAUGCAGCCAUGCCGCGUGUAUGAAGAAGGCCUUCGGGUUGUAAAGUACUUUCAGCGGGGAGGAAAGGAGUAAAGUUAAUACCUUUGCUCAUUGACGUUACCCGCAGAAGAAGCACCGGCUAACUCCGUGCCAGCAGCCGCGGUAAUACGGAGGGUGCAAGCGUUAAUCGGAAUUACUGGGCGUAAAGCGCACGCAGGCGGUUUGUUAAGUCAGAUGUGAAAUCCCCGGGCUCAACCUGGGAACUGCAUCUGAUACUGGCAAGCUUGAGUCUCGUAGAGGGGGGUAGAAUUCCAGGUAUAGCGGUGAAAUGCGUAGAGAUCUGGAGGAAUACCGGUGGCGAAGGCGGCCCCCUGGACGAAGACUGACGCUCAGGUGCGAAAGCGUGGGGAGCAAACAGGAUUAGAUACCCCAGUAGUC